rnacentral:rRNA from 1 species
GACGAACGCUGGCGGCGUGCUUAACACAUGCAAGUCGAACGGAAAGGCCCUGCUUUUGUGGGGUGCUCGAUUGGCGAACGGGUGAGUAACACGUGAGUAACCUGCCCUUGACUUUGGGAUAACUUCAGGAAACUGGGGCUAAUACCGGAUAGGAGCUCCUGCUGCAUGGUGGGGGUUGGAAAGUUUCGGCGGUUGGGGAUGGACUCGCGGCUUAUCAGCUUGUUGGUGGGGUAGUGGCUUACCAAGGCUUUGACGGGUAGCCGGCCUGGGAGGGUGACCGGCCACAUGGGGACUGAGAUACGGCCCAGAAUCCUACGGGAGGCAGCAGUGGGGAAUAUUGCACAAUGGGCGGAAGCCUGAUGCAGCAACGCCGCGUGCGGGAUGACGGCCUUCGGGGUGUAAACCGCUUUCGCCUGUGACGAAGCGUGAGUGACGGUAAUGGGUAAAGAAGCACCGGCUAACUACGUG